UGGGGAAUAUUGGACAAUGGGGGAAACCCUGAUCCAGCAAUGCCGCGUGAAUGAAGAAGGCCUUAGGGUUGUAAAGUUCUUUUGUCCGUGACGAUAAUGACGGUAGCGGACGAAUAAGCCCUGGCUAACUCUGUGCCAGCAGCCGCGGUAAUACAGAGAGGGCAAGCGUUGUCCGGAAUGACUGGGCGUAAAGCGCGCGCAGGCGGUCUUUUAAGUUGGAUGUGAAAUCCCCGGGCUUAACCUGGGAACUGCAUUCGAUACUGGAAGACUAGAGGCCGAGAGAGGAAAGCGGAAUGACGAGUGUAGAGGUGAAAUUCGUAGAUAUUCGUCGGAACACCAGAGGCGAAGGCGGCUUUCUGGCUCGGACCUGACGCUCAGGCGCGAAAGCGUGGGGAGCAAACAG
rnacentral:rRNA from 1 species